rnacentral:rRNA from 1 species
UACGUAGGUGGCAAGCGUUGUCCGGAAUUAUUGGGCGUAAAGCGCGCGCAGGCGGCCUCUUAAGUCUGAUGUGAAAGCCCCCGGCUCAACCGGGGAGGGCCAUUGGAAACUGGGAGGCUUGAGUAUAGGAGAGAAGAGUGGAAUUCCACGUGUAGCGGUGAAAUGCGUAGAGAUGUGGAGGAACACCAGUGGCGAAGGCGACUCUUGGGCCUUGAACUGACGAUGAGGCGCGAAAGCGUGGGGAGCAAACAGG